rnacentral:rRNA from 1 species
UACGAAGGGGGCUAGCGUUGCUCGGAAUCACUGGGCGUAAAGGGUGCGUAGGCGGGUUAUUAAGUCAGAGGUGAAAUCCUGGAGCUCAACUCCAGAACUGCCUUUGAUACUGAUAGUCUUGAGUAUGGGAGAGGUGAGUGGAACUGCGAGUGUAGAGGUGAAAUUCGUAGAUAUUCGCAAGAACACCAGUGGCGAAGGCGGCUCACUGGCCCAUUACUGACGCUGAGGCACGAAAGCGUGGGAGCAAACAGG